rnacentral:rRNA from 1 species
GGGGGGGAGCGAGCGUUGUUCGGAAUUACUGGGCGUAAAGGGCGCGUAGGCGGCCGGGUCAGUCGCGUGUGAAAGGGCCGGGGGGCUCAACCCCGAGCAUUGCACGUGAUACUGCCUGGCUCGAGAGAGGUAGGGCGAGUGGAAUUCCCGGUGUAGCGGUGGAAUGCGUAGAUAUCGGGAAGAACACCUGUGGCGAAGGCGGCUCGCUGGACCUUUUCUGACGCUGAAGCGCGAAAGCGUGGGGAGCAAACAGGAUUAGAUACCCUGGUAGUCCACGCCGUAAACGAUGGGUACUAGGUGUUGGGAGGAUUGACCCUUUCAGUGCCGGCGCUAACGCAUUAAGUACCCCGCCUGGGGAGUGCGGUCGCAAAGGCUGA